rnacentral:rRNA from 1 species
GGCGAACUGGUGAGUAACACGUGGGAAACCUGCCCAGAAGCGGGGGAUAACACCUGGAAACAGAUGCUAAUACCGCAUAACAACUUGGACCGCAUGGUCCGAGCUUGAAAGAUGGCUUCGGCUAUCACUUUUGGAUGGUCCCGCGGCGUAUUAGCUAGAUGGUGGGGUAACGGCUCACCAUGGCAAUGAUACGUAGCCGACCUGAGAGGGUAAUCGGCCACAUUGGGACUGAGACACGGCCCAAACUCCUACGGGAGGCAGCAGUAGGGAAUCUUCCACAAUGGACGAAAGUCUGAUGGAGCAACGCCGCGUGAGUGAAGAAGGGUUUCGGCUCGUAAAACUCUGUUGUUAAAGAAGAAC